AAGAUCCGAGUAAAAAGUUAACUUCCCGGUUGAAUCAGCGAACGAGCCACCCGCUCGCCGGAGCUCCGAUCAGCCCGUUUUCGCCGUUGAAGUUGCUGGUUUCUUCUCUGCAGUUCAGUCCAGAUCAGAAGCAGAAGACAGCAAGAAGUUCCAGACUUCGUGGCCCGUUUUCAAGCCCUUCCCGGCCUCCGUUGGUGUCGCCGCUUUGGGGUUUAUCGACCGCCUUGGCGUCGUGGUCGCCGUGAACUCACCGGCGCGCAAAACCGGUGAGUUUAUCCUCUAAACCUUGCUUAGCAAGUUAAUCAUGCUUAAGGGGUGUUUAGAUUAGUCUAAUUAGGUUUAGGUGGUUAGAUUAGAUUAUUUUAAUGUAAAUUAGAUUAGUUGUAUGAUUAGUUUAAAGGAUGUUUAAUUAGGGCUAAUAGUAUGUUUAAAUUAGUGUAAUCUAAUUUAAGCCCUAAUUGAUUAUUUUUAAUUAAAUAAUUAUUUCGAAUUUUUAAAUAUUAUUUUAUUAUUUUAUAUUAUUAUAAUAUAAUAUUUAAUUAUUUAAUUUUCGGAAUUAAAUUUAAUUAUUUAAUAAUUUCGAAAAUUUUGCCGGGAUGGCCGGUCGUUAGAAUUUCGCGCUGAUCGCAACAGUGCGGUCGGUUUGUGUUAGUUAUAUGUUUAAAUUGAGAAAUUGAGUGAUUGAUGAUUAUGGUUAAUAAUUCCAAAAGUGUGGAAUUGUGUGAAAUUGAUGAAGUUGUGGUAUUUAACUUGAAAAUACCCUGUGUUGGCUUUUAGCACCGUAAUUGAUUUGUAUGACCAGUUUGAAUCGAUUGGAUUGAUUGAUCGAUUGAAUUGAGAUAUGAGUUGGUUUAUUAUUGAAUUAUCCGCUUUGGCGAGCAAUUGGUUUAUAUAUGUCAGCUUGUGAGAGCAAUGAUCCAUACAUCAGCUUGUGUGAGCUAUCAUCUAUGCAUAUAUCAGCUUGUGCGAGCUACCAUCUAUAUCAGCUUGUGUGAGCCGUGAUUUAUUAAUGGAUGGAUAGAUGGUAUGAAUUGAUAGAUGAUAUGAAUUGAUAUAUGGUAUGAAUUUAUCGACGUAUGAAUUGCACUGACGUGCAGGAAGGACUGAGGCAAGGUAAGUCCUCUAUUCUCUUUGUGUGGCUAGAGCACCCUGGGGCUUAUUUUCUUCCUAAUUGAGUUUUAGAGGGUAGGACUCGCUGAGACAUCGUUUCAUCCCGGUUGUGGGAUAAUAUUUCAGGUCCAUAGAUGGCGGAUCCUCCGGAGCUUUUUGGUAGACCAUUGAGGGUCGUUGAGAGGAUUUUUGACUUCGCCGAUCCCGACUGAAGAGCUGGCGAAUGGACCUGUCUAGCUGAUCUUAGGACAGCCUAGUUUUUGAGGACUGAUCUUCUAUAGAUCUUUUGUAAAUAGCCUAGUCCUGUAAAUGAACUGGUUUGAUAUGUAUAAAAAGUAUGUGGUUGGUUUUAAAAAUGUGAUCCUGCUUUUCUAUCCCAAUUGAGUUUUGUCUGG
rnacentral:lncRNA from 1 species